UUCCUAUCAUCAGUCGAGUGGAGAGCAGGAACUGGAGGAUACCUCGAACAAAAAAUACUAUCUAUAAUGUCCUUGCUGUGCCUUCAUCUCUCUUGACGUCAAAUGGAUUCAGCAAUGAAACCACCUCACUGACAGUAGACCCGCAGUCUGUGUUGAACUCAGCUGAGCCGCCGCAGUCUCGAGGGCCAGACAGGGACACUGACCAUCAGCAGGGGCUGUGUUCAGCUUCGAGUGGUGUGUCCAGCACCAGAGCAGGCAGUCAUCAGCCUCUCUCGGGAACGCAAGUUUCCAGGGAGAGGAAGCCCAUUACCAACAGGAGCCUGAGGUUUUCCGAAGGAACAGACAGCAGGUCUGG